UACGUAGGGUGCAAGCGUUGUCCGGAAUUAUUGGGCGUAAAGAGCUCGUAGGCGGUUUGUCGCGUCUGCUGUGAAAACCCGAGGCUCAACCUCGGGCCUGCAGUGGGUACGGGCAGACUAGAGUGCGGUAGGGGAGACUGGAAUUCCUGGUGUAGCGGUGAAAUGCGCAGAUAUCAGGAGGAACACCGAUGGCGAAGGCGGCUCUCUGGGCCUUACCUGACGCUGAGGAGCGAAAGCGUGGGUAGCGAACAGG
rnacentral:rRNA from 1 species